GCCAGAGGAAGUCAGGGACGCCCCUGCCCCAGGGAGAGGGCAGCAUCUCCCCCACCCCUACCAGGCGCCCCUUUGAGCCUCCUCUACCGAUGGAGGUCAUGGACGCCCCUGCCCCACGUGAAGGAUGGUAACUAGCCCACAUACCCGGCGCCCCAGUUAGCCCCUCGCCCAGAGAAGUCAGGGACACCCUCUCCCCCACCACCUACCCCCUCCCCGAGCCCUUCCUAGGCCCUUACACAGAGAGGUCAGGGACACCCUUCCUCCAGCCUAGAACAGCAUCUGCUUCCCCUCUCUUUACGCCCCUCCAAGCCCCCUACUCGGGAGGUCAGGGACACCCCCUCGCCUGGACAGCAUCUGCUCCCUCGUCACCUCAGUCCCUCCUCCAGCUGUCCCCACUCCCCCCUCCCCAGUUCUUCUGAGUCUCCAAAGUGGGGAGGUCAGGGACACCCCUCCCCCCUCCGAAAACAGCAUCUGCUCCCCAGCGCCCCUCCUCCUCUUUCCAAGAACCUCCCCCGCCCCCCCACUUCCUAGACCGCGGGGCCUUGGGCUGGGUGCUGAAAGCCAGCUCUGCACCAGCAGACGGGAGCCCCGCCCCGACCUUGCCUCUGGCAGCUCCUGGCCCUUCCCCCACCCUCCCGGCCCCCGGACUCUGGUCCCGGAACAGGGCGCGCUCCGAAGCUCCUCGCCUGAACUGACCUCGGCCUGCAGGCAGCCGGGGAGUCGGUCGUCUGGAAAGAAAAAAAAAAAAGUUGCAGCUCCGGCGAAGCCCAGCCACCCUCCCUCCCUGGCCCAGGUGAGAAAACCGGGUCCCAAAAAAACAGUGAUUCGGCCAAGAUCACAGAUAAAUAAGAUGUCCUGCCUCCAGAUCAAUUUUCUUUGCUAUCUUCUCCUCCAACUUCUCCCAAGACUAUGAGCUCUCUGAAGAGAGGGACUGUUCGGGGUUUUGUUCAUCAAAACCCAGGAGGAGCCUAACCCCUUCUCAGAGGCACUGUACAGGGUAUAUAAAUGUUUGUUGGCCCCAGAAAGUUGUAGAUGGGAAAGCAGAAUAAAGAUCAGUGAAAGGCAUAUUUGCUUGGUGGC
rnacentral:lncRNA from 1 species